AUUGAACGCUGGCGGCAGGCUUAACACAUGCAAGUCGAGCGGUAACAGGAGAAGCUUGCUUCUCGCUGACGAGCGGCGGACGGGUGAGUAAUACUUAGGAAUCUACCUAGUAGUGGGGGAUAGCACGGGGAAACUCGUAUUAAUACCGCAUACGACCUACGGGAGAAAGGGGGCAGUUUACUGCUCUCGCUAUUAGAUGAGCCUAAGUCGGAUUAGCUAGAUGGUGGGGUAAAGGCCUACCAUGGCGACGAUCUGUAGCUGGUCUGAGAGGAUGAUCAGCCACACCGGGACUGAGACACGGCCCGGACUCCUACGGGAGGCAGCAGUGGGGAAUAUUGGACAAUGGGGGAAACCCUGAUCCGGCCAUGCCGCGUGUGUGAAGAAGGCCUUUUGGUUGUAAAGCACUUUAAGCAGUGAAGAAGACUCCGUGGUUAAUACCCACGGACGAUGACAUUAGCUGCAGAAUAAGCACCGGCUAACUCUGUGCCAGCAGCCGCGGUAAUACAGAGGGUGCAAGCGUUAAUCGGAAUUACUGGGCGUAAAGGGAGCGUAGGUGGCUCUAUAAGUCAGAUGUGAAAUCCCCGGGCUUAACCUGGGAACUGCAUCUGAAACUGUAGAGCUAGAGUAUGUGAGAGGAAGGUAGAAUUCCAGGUGUAGCGGUGAAAUGCGUAGAGAUCUGGAGGAAUACCGAUGGCGAAGGCAGCCUUCUGGCAUAAUACUGACACUGAGGCUCGAAAGCGUGGGUAGCAAACAGGAUUAGAUACCCUGGUAGUCCACGCCGUAAACGAUGUCUACUAGUCGUUGGGUCCCUUGAGGACUUAGUGACGCAGCUAACGCAAUAAGUAGACCGCCUGGGGAGUACGGCCGCAAGGUUAAAACUCAAAUGAAUUGACGGGGGCCCGCACAAGCGGUGGAGCAUGUGGUUUAAUUCGAUGCAACGCGAAGAACCUUACCUGGUCUUGACAUAUCUAGAAUCCUGCAGAGAUGCGGGAGUGCCUUCGGGAAUUAGAAUACAGGUGCUGCAUGGCUGUCGUCAGCUCGUGUCGUGAGAUGUUGGGUUAAGUCCCGCAACGAGCGCAACCCUUGUCCUUAGUUACCAGCGGGUUAAGCCGGGAACUCUAAGGAUACUGCCAGUGACAAACUGGAGGAAGGCGGGGACGACGUCAAGUCAUCAUGGCCCUUACGACCAGGGCUACACACGUGCUACAAUGGUAGGUACAGAGGGCAGCUACACAGCGAUGUGAUGCGAAUCUCAAAAAGCCUAUCGUAGUCCAGAUUGGAGUCUGCAACUCGACUCCAUGAAGUAGGAAUCGCUAGUAAUCGCGGAUCAGAAUGCCGCGGUGAAUGCGUUCCCGGGCCU
rnacentral:rRNA from 1 species